rnacentral:lncRNA from 1 species
GUAAACAGCCGCUGGCCGCCGGCCGGCCGCCCUGCAGGGCAGCCCGGGGACCUGCCCCCGGCGCCACGCCCGGCGCCCCGGGGAGGCCCAGCCCGCAGGCCCCGCCGACUGGGCGCCGCGCCCUGGGAACGUGCACCGGGGCAGGCAGCCCGGCCUCACCUGGCCCCAGCGCGGAGCCGGAUCACACCUGCCUGCUGGGUGAGCCGAGGGCAUUCGCGGAAGGGAAGAGACAAGACCUGGGAAGGGACGCCUGUGGCUUAGAAAGACCCUCAGGCAGGGCCGGGCGUGGGGCGCGCUGAUAAAAAUUCCUGGAGCUGUAUUAUUCACAUCGCAGAUUUGUCCCUUUGCCUCAAUCUAAAAGGAAUGGGAAAGAACAGCCGCUGGGCUCUCAUUUGCUUCCAGCUUACACAGAUUCAACUAUCAAUUAUCCCAGAGGAGAGGCGUGCAGUGCAGGGCGUUGGGCCACGAAACUGAAAGCUGCUGGCGAGGCGCGUGGGGGAGGUCGAUUUCUGCGUCCUGCUGCCUCCACGCACAGUGAGAACCCACCCCGCCACUGCGUUCCUGUCCUCACAGCACAGCAGGACGAAAAUGUCUUCUGUUGGGAUCCCAGAGAAGAUCCAGACGCUGACACCUGCCCCUACCUCUCUACUUCUCAUCAUACCGGUCACCUGGAAGAAGGGUCCAUUCAAAGCAAAGCCUGUAGCCAAUGAGUUGUUUCUGCCAUCAAACAGUCAAGCAUAUGAGGCCCAAUAGGCAGUCCUGUUUUUUUUGUGACAGAGUCUCACUCUGUCGCCAGGCUGGAGUACAGUGGCGUGAUCUCGGCUCACUGCAACCUCCACCUCCCGGGUUAAAGUGAUUCUCCUGCCUCAGCCUCCCGAGUAGCUGGGAUUACAGAUGCACGCCACCACGCCGGCUAAUUUUUGUAUUUUUAGUAGAGACGGGGUUUCACCAUGUUGGCCAGGAUGGUCUCGAUCCACUGACAUCGUGAUCCGCCCGCCUCGGCCUCCCAACGUGCUGGGAUUACAGAUGCGCCGGCCAGGCAGUCCUGUUAAGCCAUGCCACACAGCUUAAAAAAAGACACUGGCAAGCUCAAGUCCCGAAGUUACCAGCUGAAGGAAGAGACUUAAACCAAACCAAGGGCUUCCUAUGACAGUUCUGAAAUACCCUCUUCCCUCUUGAGUCCAUACAACUGAGAAAAUAGAACGGCCAGUCACCGUGGCUCGUGCCUGUAAUUCUGGCACUUUGGUAGGCAGAGGCAGGCAGAUCACCUGAGGUCAGGAGUUUGAGACCAGCCUGGCCAACAUGGUGAAAGCCCGUCUCUACAAAAAUACAAAAAUUAGCCGGGCAUGGUGGCGCAUGCCUGUAGUCCCAGCUACUCGGGAGGCUGAGGCAUGAGAAUUGCUUGACCCGGGAGGCGGAGGUUGCAGUGAGCUGAGAUCGUGCCACUGCACUCCAGCCUGGGUGACAGAGCGAGCCUCUGUCUCAAAAAGAAAAAACAACAACAAAAAGGGAAAACCAAAGGUAAAAUUUGAUCCACAGGACUGGCCACAUUUCUACACUGGUAAAAUCAUGGCCUUGCUGAAGCAUUGAUCAGGAAGGGAUAAGACCCAGAGAAUCCAAAUGGAGACAAAUGAGAGGAUUUGGAAAACCUGAAGUUCUCUGAAUCACCCAGUCCUCAAAGAGCCUCCUUCGUCAGCGGAAACCCUCUUCUCCAGUCUUCUGACACACUUCGUAACGACACUGCCAUUUCUUUGCAUCCUUUGCAGUCUCACUGCAAGAGCAAGCCAGUUCUCAUGCAUUACCCUCGACUGUCUCCAGAAUGGACAGUUAGAUCCCAGCACUUCAGAAAGAAGGACAAUGGCAAGCUCAAACCAGCGAGGAUCAAGAUUAGAAACCAACAUGAUUUUGGGAUUUUCCUAACUAAGGGUGCUUAAUAAAUGGGUGGAAAGGUAUCAUUUUACACUGGUCUGAUGUUGUUGAUAUACAUUGCAGAGAUUCUGGAUUGACUGUGCUAGCAGGAGAAGCUGGGAGUGACUUCUGAGCUGGACUGACCACUGGACGCCAAGUGAUUAUCCCUAAUGUAUUACAUGUCAUUUGCAACCCAAGCUGUCCGUCAUGUACUGGGCCAUCUGACACACUCAUAAAAUCCCAUUACCAACUGGAAAUGGUUUAUGUGGGACUAGCUCCUAACCAGGUACUGAAGGCACAAGUGCAUUAUAUGCAUAGGUAGAUCAUUCCCUGUGUGCCUACCCCUGACCCUUUCAUCAAUCUAACACCGGCCUCAAAGGGGUUUCCCAAGAGCUAGUGACUAAGAGAGGAAAAACCACUGAUCCUCAUUUACAGAUAGCUUCACACCAUAUGCUUGCCUACCUUUUUUUUUUUUUUUUUGAGACGAAGUCUCGUUCUGUCGCCCAGGCUGGAGUUCAGUGGUGCGAUCUCAGCUCCCUGCAACCCCUGCCUCCCGGGUUCCAGCAGUUCUCCUGCCUCAGCCUCCCGAGUAGUUGGGAAUGCAGGCACAUCAUUGCUUCAACUGAUUCAUGAGCAGAAGAGUCUUUGCUGGCAACACAUGAACUGUGAUGGAUUCAAUCACUUAGGCUUUCCAUUAUCAAUGCAGACCUGGCCCCUGGGUGCACAGGGUUAUCAGUGACCACCCCUGAAUGCCGCAACUGACCAGACUCCAGGGACACCAUGGACUACUUAGUUGCAGACUGAUGACUUUGGACCUCUUCCAUUAUGGAAAGGGCAGUGAUUUCUUUUCACUGAAACAGGCUCAUGUCUGACUUUGGAACUGACCUCUCUGCCUGUAGAUCAUCAUGGCAUGCUCUACAAAAUUGCUUCUGACAACGGAAUUCACUUUACAGUGAAAGAGGGAAAGCAGUGGGUGAUACCCUUGUCAAUGGAUCCUGUCACCCAGAAGCAGUCAUCUGUAUUCAGCUGUGACAUGAUUUAUUGAAGAUUUCAUUUCAGGACUGAGAGACGAUCAUACCUAAGGAGAUUGAAAUAUCGUCCUUUAAGAUGCUUGUUUGUUCUGAACUAGGGAACAUCACGUGGUGCCGUUUCUCCCACAGCCAGACUAAACAGGUCUGGAGGAAGGGGAAGUAGGCACGGUGCAACUUCCAUCUUACUUAAUGACUCUCACUCUCUUCAACUUUUUUUCCACCAAUUAGCGAUUUUAUUCCCAGGAAAGGAAGGUUGCACCAUUGAGGCAGCUGACCGUUGGGGUGGCUCCCUUUGGAAAGGGGAUAUAAAGUGUUUGUAUGAGUGAUGGUUCCAUUAAAGCAGACAUUUUUUAAAAAGGUGAAAUUUGGGGAAUUAGAGUGAAUAUAGAUGUUGAACAGAAAAAGAGUGAUAUAGCAAUAGUCUGGACAUGUGGGCUGGCCACCUGGAAUUUCACAUGCCAUUAGGUCAAAAAAGUGGGUUGACAAGGCUGGCUGCAGUGACUAGUCCUGGGAAAAUGCUGCUAUACCACGGGAGACAGGCCAGGGUGGAGGCUAUGAAUGAAACUCAAGUGGUUCUCUCAGGAGCCGCCUCCUCCUCCUCCUCCAGCGGUGGGAGUUAAGGGAAGACUGUUACCAUCAUGCAUAUGGGCAGGGCCUCCUUGGUCUCUGUGCCCUUAGGAAAGAGGAAUAGGGUCACGGCUAGUAGGUCACACCCCAGUCAUCUAAGGUACUGGCUGAAGACAGCAUGGACUUGGAAUGGAAACUGGAAGCGGGAAACCUAAACAUCAUCCAGGGUCUCUUCUCUAGGGCAGGAAAUGGGUGCUGUAGCUUCUACUUGUACUUCCUGUGUUGUGUGUAUCCUAUUUUAACUCAUUGCCUCUCUUUCCUCUCCCGUUAUUCGUUUUAUUGUAUAUGGGAUGAACGGUUAUGGUUAACUUUACACUUCAGCUCAAAGAUACAGAAUAAUGAGAUGGGCUUGUUAUCCCACGGAGGUGGGGUAUCCAUUACUCACAGACCUUGAGUACAGGAGUUGAAAGACAUUGGGGUAACCCCGUUGGAAAGGGAAUGAAAGAAGUUUUGAUUGUAUGAGGAAUAGCUACAUAUUUUAAGCAAGAGUUUUUUCUUUAAGUAAAACUAGAGGAAUUAGAGUAUAUGUUGAUAUUGAACAGCAAAAGAGUAAGGCUGUAAUGAACUUAAUAGACCCUUUUUUUUUUUUCUAUUUUGGCUCUGCACCAUAUGAACUCAUUCCCAAAUUUGGAAAAUCCACUAUUUUGCGAGUCUUGGGAAGGGGCAAGAUCAGCUAGUUCAUGGGCACAGGAUCUAAGCUCUGGCAGCUGGAUGUUCUGAUCUAGAACUUCGAAUGUGGAGCCAGG